rnacentral:rRNA from 1 species
CAGUAGCCGCGGUAAUACGUAGGGUGCAAGCGUUAAUCGGAAUUACUGGGCGUAAAGCGUGCGCAGGCGGUUUGUUAAGACAGAUGUGAAAUCCCCGGGCUCAACCUGGGAACUGCAUUUGUGACUGGCAAGCUAGAGUAUGGCAGAGGGGGGUGGAAUUCCGCGUGUAGCAGUGAAAUGCGUAGAUAUGCGGAGGAACACCGAAGGCGAAGGCAGCCCCCUUGGCCAAUACUGACGCUCAUGCACGAAAGCGUGGGGAGCAAACAGGAUUAGAUACCCCAGUAGUCCCUGUCUCUUAUAC